CCUACGGGUGGCAGCAGUGGGGAAUAUUGGACAAUGGGCGAAAGCCUGAUCCAGCCAUGCCGCGUGUGUGAAGAAGGCCUUCGGGUUGUAAAGCACUUUCAGUGGGGAAGAAAGCCUUGGGGCUAAUACCCUCGAGGAAGGACAUCACCCACAGAAGAAGCACCGGCUAACUCCGUGCCAGCAGCCGCGGUAAUACGGCGGGUGCGAGCGUUAAUCGGAAUUACUGGGCGUAAAGCGCGCGUAGGCGGUCUGAUAAGCCGGUUGUGAAAGCCCCGGGCUCAACCUGGGAACGGCAUCCGGAACUGUCAGGCUAGAGUGCAGGAGAGGAAGGUAGAAUUCCCGGUGUAGCGGUGAAAUGCGUAGAGAUCGGGAGGAAUACCAGUGGCGAAGGCGGCCUUCUGGACUGACACUGACGCUGAGGUGCGAAAGCGUGGGUAGCAAACAGGAUUAGAUACCCCGGUAGUC
rnacentral:rRNA from 1 species